CAUAUAAGUAAGCGGAGGAAAAGAAACUAAAUAGGAUUCCCUCAGUAAUGGCGAAUGAACAGGGAUGAGCUCAGUAUGGAAAUUGGGGCCUGUGGCCUUGAAUUGUAGUCUGGAGAUGUACCACCAACUGGGGCGCAGAUGUAAGCCUCUUGGAAAAGAGCAUCAAUGAGGGUGAGAGUCCCGCUUGGCAUCUGCAGUCCCCAGUGCACGGUGUACCUUCUAAGAGUCACGUUCCUCGGGAUUGGAGCGCAAAUCGGGUGGUAAGUUUCAUCUAAAGCUAAAUAUAGUUUCGAGACCGAUAGCAAACAAGUACCAUGAGGGAAAGGUGAAAAGGACUUUGAAAAGAGAGUUAAAAGUGCCUGAAAUUGCUGAAAGGGAAGCGAAUGGAACCAGCGUAACUUGGCGAGAUUGCUGCGUGUCAAUGUGAUUGCUUGCUGCUUCAACGUAAGUGUUGUAGUAAGUCUUGAACAGGACAUGCGCGGUGCUUCUUGCCUUGUGUGUCACCGUCAGUUCGCAACUGGGGAAAACUUCAGGGACAUGGUAGCCUGUCUCCGGGUGGGUGAACGUGUUUGCUGGAACUCAUUUGCGGAUUGCU
rnacentral:rRNA from 1 species